rnacentral:sRNA from 2 species
CUGUGUUGGCGAAAUGAAGUGGAUGUGGGUGUCGAGUCCGCCGGCAGUAAGAAUAAGACCUUCUCCUGCAAUCGCCUCUGUGGACGCACCGAUUACCAUAUUCUUAUCCACGCCGUUCAUAAUAUCCGGAUUUCCGGCUUUGCCGAUUCCUGCAAUUUUACCGUCCUUUAUGCCGACAUCCGCUUUUAUGAUGCCUGUGCUGUCAAUGAUCAGCGCAUUUGUGAUAACUGUGUCAAGGCACUCCUUGUCCGUGGCUUUGCAGGACUGCCCCAUGCCGUCGCG